AUGGAAACCACCCUUGCCACCGAUGUCCGCCUCUCAGUCGCGCACCAGACCCGCUUCGCCCUCCGCCUCGCCUCCGCCAUCUCAUCCGACCCCGAAUCUGCUACCGGCAACGUCGCCUUCUCCCCGGUCUCACUCCAUGUCGCGCUCAGCCUCAUUACUGCCGGCGCUGGCGGCACCACCAGCGACCAGCUCGUAGCCAUACUUGGGAACGAGAAUGCAGGCGGGCCCGAGGGACUCCACUCGCUCGCGGAUCAGGUGGUACAGUUAGUGCUUGCCGAUGCGUCCAUCACCGGCGGCCCGCGCAUCGCCUUCGCCAACGGCGUGUUUGUAGACGCGUCGCUCUCCCUCAAGCCUUCCUUCCAGGAGCUCGCUGUGUGCAACUAUAAGUCCGAGGUCCAAUCCGUGGACUUCAAGAAUAAGUUGCUAGUCAAGUGA
rnacentral:rRNA from 1 species